CAGCAGCCACGGUAAUACGUAGGUGGCAAGCGUUGUCCGGAAUUAUUGGGCGUAAAGCGCGCGCAGGUGGUUUAAUAAGUCUGAUGUGAAAGCCCACGGCUCAACCGUGGAGGGUCAUUGGAAACUGUUAAACUUGUGUGCAGGAGAGAAAAGUGGAACUCCUAGUGUAGCGGUGAAAUGCGUAGAGAUUAGGAGGAACACCAGUGGCGAAGGCGGCUUUUUGGCCUGUAACUGACACUGAGGCGCGAAAGCGUGGGGAGCAAACAGGAUUAGAUACCCGCGUAGUCCCUGUCUCUUAUAC
rnacentral:rRNA from 1 species